CCUACGGGAGGCAGCAGUCGAGAAUCAUUCACAAUGGGGGAAACCCUGAUGGUGCGACGCCGCGUGGGGGAAUGAAGGUCUUCGGAUUGUAAACCCCUGUCAUGUGGGAGCAAAUUAAAAAGAUAGUACCACAAGAGGAAGAGACGGCUAACUCUGUGCCAGCAGCCGCGGUAAGACAGAGGUCUCAAGCGUUGUUCGGAAUUACUGGGCGUAAAGCGUGCGUAGGCUGUUUCGUAAGUCGUGUGUGAAAGGCGCGGGCUCAACCCGCGGACGGCACAUGAUACUGCGAGACUAGAGUAAUGGAGGGGGAACCGGAAUGCUCGGUGUAGCAGUGAAAUGCGUAGAUAUCGAGAGGAACACUCGUGGCGAAGGCGGGUUCCUGGACAUUAACUGACGCUGAGGCACGAAGGCCAGGGGAGCGAAAGGGAUUAGAUACCCUUGUAGUU
rnacentral:rRNA from 1 species